GCCUUCAUGGUUUAGUGGUCAGCACGCUCGACGCGUAUUCGAGAGGUCCGUGGUUCGAGUCCCGGCGAGGGCA
rnacentral:tRNA from 1 species